rnacentral:lncRNA from 1 species
GUUAAGUAGCAUUUAUCAAGAAAUUUUCAGGAGAAAAGAUCAGUCUGUUCUCAUCAUUGUUAUGUAUAAAACUAAGUAGUAAGCAUUUUUCUUACAGCAUUGGAACUCAUUGAAAGAUUGCAUGGCAUAAACAGGAACGAAUAAAACCAACAUCUUUUUUGAUAUAAAUGCCAAUCUUUUGUUAAGUAACACUGUAAAAAUUAGCUAUGCGUAUAAGGAAGUAGUAAACUGCUCUGGGGGGGAAAAAAAAACAUAAGUGGUGAAAGUAGGCAUCCUUGUUCCUGAUCUUGGAGCAAAGAUCUUCAGUCUUUCACUACAAUGUUGUUACUAAUGGGCUUUUUGUAUAUGGCUCUGUGUUUAGAAUGCUAACUAUUACACAUAUGCUCUUAGUAGGCUUUCCCAAAUUCCAAUUAUUAUCCAAACUGUCCUGGGUUCCUCCAUCAGUUGAAUAACGUUCUUUUGUUUUAUUAUCACAUUUUCAUUUUAAGGUGGCUUAAGUUUGGCUAUUUCCUGAUGAUCACCAUUUUAAAUAAUUGCUAAUACUGAAUACUUACAGUUUGCUAGACACUAUCUUGUCAUUGUUACCUGUUCCAGAAAGGGAAGCCAAGAUUGAGUGGAAUUAACUUGUUCAGUGUCACAGGCUAGAACAUGGUGGAAUCAAAGCAAGAGCUUGACUCUAAUCUGUUUCUUUAUUAUACCAUACUACCUCUUGCAAAAAGUACAUCUGAGGGAAGGGUACAAAAUUCCAGAGUCGUCUUCAGAGAGACGCUGCUGGCAACUCCCUAAAGGUAUCUAAAGCAAAAGACUCAUCAAUGCAAGUAGCACUGCCAUUAGUCACAGCCCUGGCUACUCCCUAGUGCAGGACAUAUGAGUGGAUACUUCUAAGCCUAACAUUCUAUGAGGAACUAAUUAAAAAGCAUCCCAGGGAAACUGGAUUCCUCAAUACUCCUCAAAGUAUAGUUCAUGCAUCUUCAAAGAUUAUCUCUGGUCUCUGAUCCUUUACCAAAUUUAAGCAAAUCUGCAGAGAUGGGUCUUAGGAAUCUACAUUUGAAACUGACUUCCCUAAUGACUCUUAAGAGAACCACUGCUCUGAGCAUUUGGGUGGCUCUGCCAGGUGCAUGUGAAGAAUGGGGAAGUGCUGGAGGGGCUUCAGUGAAGGGUGUGUAUACAUUGGUUAUGCUGCCUUCCAGGUGCUGCUAGAUUCCUCAUUAAGGAGCUGUCAUAUCACAACCUAGAACUGGAGAGGAACCGCCUGGAGGAGCUGGGAGUUAAACGCCAGUGUGUCUGGCCUUUCAUCGUUGUGAUGGAUGAUUCGUGUGUCCUAUGGAACAUUCACAGUGUUCAGGAGCAGACCAGGUAGUGAUUCUUCCAAGCAGUUCUAGGGGAGUACAACACAAUGCUAACAAAGAAGAUAAUUUUUCUUGGCUGCAGUUACAUAUAGAGUAAAAAACAGAGUUACAGCUUUCCAGAGAGCAAGGUCAACACCCUCACGAGUACAUUUUGAGAUGACUUAAAGGAUUUUUUUUAUUUAGACAUUCAGUAUGCCAUUAAAUUCCUAGACUAUUUCUGCAUCACAGUGUUGGUCAACUAUCAAUCUGUUAAAAACUUAUCAUUUAUCUAGAAACACUGCUGGCUUCUGAAUCAGGAGACCUGCUUUUAUAGUCCCAGCUAUUUCUCAACGAUGUGGGUGAAGAAGAAAAGUCAUUGAAUCUCUCAAGUCCUUCACCUGUAAAAUUAUGGCAGGGCCAAAAUCAGUUGUUGUUGUUGUCCAAGAACACUGCUGCCCUCCUAUGGGGCAUUUGAGGAUGUCAUGAUGUUAGGAGGCAGUCAUUGGGGGUUCAUAAGGACCAGGGAAUGCUAAACAUUCUAAAAUCCUACACAAUAAACAACCCCAUGAGUUCAGUGGUGUCCCCACUCAAAAUAUUGUGCCAGAUGACCUCUACGUCCUUUCCAGCUCAAGAACUGUGAUUUUUCAGUCCUUGUUUCCAUUGCGGAUGUGAAACCAAUGAAUUUUUCACAUGUUCCUCUAUUACCAGAGCAUACUUUCAUGCUUUUAACUUCUGGCUUUCUUUGGUAACUACUGUUCAUUUACUUUCAAACAUAGCUGGAUUCCUUCCCGUCUUCAUCGUGUGAUAAAUCCUGGCCCCUAAAAGACAGGCUCUACAACUUCCUAGUGACAGGCAGUGUCAACACUGAGCUUAAACACUGUUCUCUAUUCUAGGCUAAUACAAAGCAAGUUGGCUCAUUAUGACCAUUACAGUAUUAUUAUUGCACAGCAGUGUUGGUCCUUCAUAAAUGGUCCUCUCUUCAGUAAUAAAUUUAUUGACAUUUUAUAUAAACUAACAUUUUAUAGCCAGUCCAUGGAAGCAGGAGUGUCCAGUAAGAAUGUGUCCUUGAAGAGUGUCUUGCAGCAUAUUGAAGCCACACCAAAAAUCAUCCACUACGCAAUCCUGGGUAUACAGAAAUGGAGCAGCAAGCUGACUUCUCAGAGUCUCAAGGCCCCAUUCUCUAGGUGCCAUGUGCAUGAUUUCAUUCUUCUCAACAUAGACUUGACUCAGAAUGUGCAGUAUGACUUCAACAGGUAGGUCAGGCCUCAUGGAUGCAAGUACUCUUGGCAUCUAAUGAUUGUUUAUGCCCAGUUCCAGCCUCAGCAAUGUUUUUAUUCCUUCAUCUGUCUUGGAUUGUAAGCCCCUUCAUCACCCUUUGAACCACCUAGAUCCUUAGAUGUUAGAGUGCAAAAUACUUAGAAAACAUACUUUAGCCAUGUUAUUAUCCAACGAGAACUAAAAUAGGCACAAAAACUGUUUGUAAGACUAAAAUCCUUAUCCUCAGAACUCACAAGAAAAUUCCUUCCCAAAAAUGUUAGUAAAACCCAGAGAUCUGGAUCCUAUAAGGAAAAGGUAGCAGAUGAGUAUAAGGCAGGCUAGCCCUGGCCUUGCCUCCUGAAUAAAUUAUGUCCAUAUUCCUGGAAAAUCAGAGAAAGACUAUGAAUUACAGUGGAUGGGGUAGAGAGAGAAGAUGGGAGGGGAGGGAGGGGGGAUGGUAGAGGAUAGGAAAGGUAGCAGAAUACAACAGUUACUAAUAGGGCAUUAUGUAAAAAUGUGGAUGUGUAACCGAUGUGAUUCUGCAAUCUGUAUUUGGGGUAAAAUUGGGAGUUCAUAACCAACUUGAAUCUAAUGUAUGAAAUAUGAUAUGUCAAGAGCUUUAUAAUGUUUUGAACAACCAAUAAAAAAAAUUAAAAAAAAAAAGAAAUUUGCAUAUUCCCAGUAUCUAGGGACAAAAAAAAAAAAAAAAAAUGCCAGGAACCAUAAAGCCCCUCCCAUGUCAACCCUUGACAUUGUAGCCAUUAGAAUUUAACUACUGCUUCCACUUCCUUGUUUUCAAUUUGGCAGAUGCUUUGUCUUGUUUGAACCCAGAGUAUACAAAAUAUAAACUACUGCUUCUGCACAGGAAUACCUAAAACCCUGUAGCAUAUUUAACAAAAAUAAUUUCAUUUCCUCCUCCAAUGGCUGUGAUGCUCAAAUUAGGAGUUUUCAUGGGUCAGUGCUAUGAGGACCAGCUCCAUAAGGGCAAGGACAAUUGUUUUGCGCUCUCCCUAACAUCUGCCAUAAUUUCUCUGUGUAUAGUUGGCAUGGGUGACGAUGUGACAAGCAAAGAAAUCUACCUAUCAUUGUGAUUAUGAUCUAGGUAUUUCUGUGAAGAUGUUGACUUUAACCUGAGAACAAACAGUAGUGGCCUGCUCAUCUGUCGCUUUAAUAACUUCAGCCUCAUGAAGAAACAUGUUCAGGUUGGCGGGCAAAGGGACUUUAUCAUUAAACCAAAGAUCAUGGUAAGAUUUGCAAGCUUGAUUCUGUUGAAAAUAAACAUAAUUCUUUCUGAUAUAUUUGUUAUUAGAUACUGGCAUUAAGCACUUUCCACGUUAGUAGAAAGUAAAGUAAACCAAGGGAGUUCUUUCUUUUUAAAGUUUUUUUUAGGUUUUUUAGUUCUGAGUGGACACAAUAUCUUUAUUUAUUUUUAUGUGGUGCUGAGGAUUGAACUCAGUGCCUCACACAUGCCAGGCAAGUGCUCUACCACUGUUAGCUAUGACCCCAGCCCCCAAGGGAGUUCUUGAUGUUAUCUAGGGAUUCACCUAGAGCCAAAACAAAAGUUUUAACAAUAUAAUUAUUUUUCUUUAGAUUUAAGAAAGUUUUCAUCAAAGUUUUAGUUUCAAAAUGGCAAACUUUACAUUUUGGUAUUCC